GGCCAGGUAGCUCAGUCGGUACGAGCGUCCGCCUGAAAAGCGGAAGGUCGGCGGUUCGAUCCCGCCCCUGGCCAC
rnacentral:tRNA from 5 species